UCUCCAAAAUCGCGCAGGUAAAGCUUUCUCCGAUUCACCUCUUUUAAGAUCAAUAUUCCCCCACACAUACCUUCUUCUUCACUCAGAGUCUUUCUCCUUUGUUCCCAAGGUUUUGUGUCGAUCUCGGAGCUCAGAGAUUCGAAUGACCUAAUUGUCACCGUGGGGGAUUCUUAUUCACUCUGCAAUCUACUCGAAUUCAUCUCGGCAACCUUAAAGUGGAUCGAAAGAAAGUUUACACACUCUCUGAAUCGAUCGAAAGAAAGAAAGGUUCCGCCUUGAAAUUAGGGUUUCUCGGGCGGCUUUUCACGGUGGAUGAUAUUGGUCCUUCUGAUUCGAGGGGUUUCUGCUAGAUUUAAGCUAGAGAAGUGAAGAAAGGCGUUAAAUUUAGUUCAUGUAUGGCUUCGGAGCCUGUUAACGAUGGAGGAAGAGAGAAGCAGAGCAUUAGAGUUUACACUAGGAAAGGUAAAGGUCAGAGGAAACAGUCACCUUUCUUUGCCUUUGCCACCGAUGAAAUUGGGAAAGCAAACAAUCGUCUGAAUCCUCCUGAAACUGUAGCUCCAGAGUCUUCGGAUCCUAUAGCUGUAGAAAAGACUGCUCUUGAGACCAAGUCGCGGGAAGACUCAACUGAAGCACCUUCUGACAAAGUGAUUGAUAAGCCUCAUGAUGAUGUCAGUUUGGGCGCUGCUGAUAAGAGCGUUAUUCAAUCUGUACCAGGUCCUUUGGUUCAGGAUGAUGCGAAUACUGUUGUAGGUGAGAAGUCUGUGGAAGUACCCUCCCAAAGCUUUAAAACUCAAGAUGAUGUCAAUACAGUAGUUGUCGAUGAGAACUCUAUAAAGGAACCUUCUGAAAGCCUUGCCCAAGAAGAAGAUGUUACCACCGUGGUUGUUGACAAGAAGGCUAUUGAUGCACCUUCUGAAACCCUAUCCGUGGAAGAUAUCAAUACUGUUGUUGUUGACAAGAAUCCCAUUGAAGUAUCUUCUGAAAACGUGGUAGAUGGAGUAAAAGAAGCUCAUCCUGAAAACCUUCCGGAAAGAGAUGCCCCUGAUGCUCAACAGACAGCAGGGCUUACCUCUGAUUCUGCUGGUGAAAGCAUGCCAAUGGAGGAGGGCGUAGAUGGACGCAUAAAGAUACAUGUACCCUCCAAAUCGAAGCAACAGAAAGAGGAGAUUAGGAAGAAGCUUGAAGAUCAGCUUAACGUGGUCAGAGGUCUGGUAAAGAGGAUAGAGGAUAAAGAGGGCGAGAUUGGUGCGUAUGACGACUCUCGUCUCUUGGCUAGCACUGGUAUUACUAAUGGAGGAGGAAGGAUUCUCUCAGGUUUUGCGUCAGCUGGACUUCCUCGUGAGGUCAUCAGAACACCAAGGCCUUUAAAUCAACUAAGUAUAUCCGUGUUAGAGAAUACUCAGGGGUUAAGUGAGCAUGUGGAGAAAGAGAAAAGAACACCCAAGGCAAAUCAGUUUUAUAGAAAUUCAGAGUUUUUACUUGGUGACAAGUUGCCACCCACAGAGAGUAACAAGAAAUCAAAAUCAAGUGCAAAGAAGCACGGAGGGGAGGUUGGUCAUGGUUUUGGUGCAGGCUCUAAAGUUUUCAAGAAUUGCAGUGCACUACUUGAAAGGCUGAUGAAGCAUAAGCAUGGUUGGGUGUUCAAUGCUCCUGUAGAUGUGAAGGCUCUAGGUUUGCAUGAUUACUUCACCAUUAUCGAGCACCCUAUGGAUUUGGGAACGGUCAAGUCUGCAUUAACAAGAAAUGUGUACGAGUCACCAAGAGAAUUUGCAGAGGAUGUUAGACUUACUUUCCACAACGCCAUGACUUACAAUCCACCGGGACAGGAUGUCCAUAUCAUGGCGCAAGUGCUAUUACAGAUGUUUGAGGAGAGAUGGGCUGUCAUAGAGGCAGACUAUAAUCGUCAAAUGAGAUUUGUCACUAGUUAUGAGAUGAAUCUUCCAGCUUCUACAAUGAGGUCUAGACUGGGUCCUACGAUGCCACCACCACCUAUUAAUGUGAGGAAUACAAUAGAUAGAGCAGACUGGAGUAGUCAUCAUCCUGACUUGCAGCAUCCAAAGCCAACAACAACGCCUGGCAGAACACCGACCAGCACAACACCUUCUGGAAGGACACCUGCUCUGAAGAAGCCAAAGGCAAACGAACCAAAUAAAAGGGAUAUGACGUAUGAAGAGAAGCAGAAGCUUAGUGGCCAUUUGCAGAAUUUGCCUCCAGACAAACUAGAUGCAAUUGUGCAAAUUGUGAACAAGAGGAACACUGCUGUGAAGCUACAGGAUGAAGAAAUUGAAGUCGAUAUAGAUAGUGUUGAUCCGGAGACCCUGUGGGAGUUGGACAGAUUUGUAAUCAACUACAAAAAGGGUUUGAGCAAGAAAAAGAGAAAAGCUGAGCUAGCGAAUCAAGCUAGAGCAGAGGCCGAGAGGAAUGGCCAACAACAGAUGGCUCCAGCACCAGUGGCACGUGAGUUUUCUAGGGAGGGUGGAAACACAGCUAAAAAGACACUCCCUACCCCAUUACCUUCUCAAGUGGAGAAGCAAAACAAUGAGACAAGCAGAUCAAGUAGUUCAAGCAGCUCUUCCAGUAGUUCCAGCUCUUCUAGUGAUUCGGACAGCGAUAGCUCUUCGUCAUCUGGAUCAGAUCAGACUUAGAGACUGGACAAGAGAUUUGGUGUUGACAAAAAUGUAAGGUAUAUGUGUUUCCUGGAUAGCACAUGUGUUAAUGGAAUCUUUUCAACGGGCGUUUAGAAAGAUGGGGAAGAUAGCGUUAGAAGAGCAUAUGAGAGGCUAAGGAUGAUGUGACGUACAGGCUUGAGGCAGAAAUAUUACACAGUAGUUGGGUUUGGAAGGAAAGAUUGUAUUGUAUUCAUAGAAUAAAUAUAUUUUUGAUUUCGUUUUUAGAAUUGGUAGGAUGAUGUGGCUGUCUCUACUUUUAGAUGUAACCGUAGGAGGGUUGGUCUGGUCUGUUUCGGCACUCUUGUAUAUCUUGCCUCUCUCUGUUCUUCUCUGGUCUUGAGCAGUUUAGUUUGGUUGACUAGGUUCAUGUUUGUUUUAGUUAGGGCUUUUGAAUCAGAAAAUAUCAUCACAACAGAUUCUUGAUGACUUGUGUAUUUGUAAGCUUGUGACAUUCGUCGUUU